GUUUGCCUCCCCGCAUUAUAAACAACACAGUUAUAAAUAUCUUUGCACAUACACCUUAGCAAAAAUAUGUUUAUUUUCCUUAAAAAAGUAAAGUAGAAUUGUUUGGUCAAAGGUUAGACCUUUUUUGUGAUACUGAAGAUUGAACCUAUUUAUUGAUAUUAGUAUUAGUGUGUGCUUUUAAUGAUAUCUGUGUUGACGAACUGGCACAUACAUAUAACAAAUCUUGGUCCUUUCCAAUCUUCUUACCUUCCCUCCUUGUCUCCUCCCACUCCCUGAUCCCUUUCCCCAUCUCCAAAAAGUCUGCCUUCUUAUUUCCCACCAUCACUUCUUUAUUAUACCCAUUCAUGUAUUUAUUUACUCAUAUUUUAGAUUUCUCAUAUGAGAGAAAGCAUGCAAUAUUUAACUUGCAGUGUCUAAUUUUGCUUCAUUUUCUGUUCUCAAAUCCCACCCUUUUUCCUACAAAUAACAUGAUUUUGUUCUUCAUGGGUAAAUGAUGUCCCACUGUGUAUAUAUGCCACACCACAUUUUCUUUAUCCACUCAUCUGUUGCCUGGCAUCUAGGCUGUUUCCAGAGCUUAGCUAUUGUGAAUUGAUCUGCUAUAAAAAUUAGUAAACAUGUAUCUCUGAGCAUAAUGUGCUUAAUUCUUUUGGUAAGAUACCCAGGAGAGGUAUUGCUGGGUCAAAUCGAAUUUCUAUUUUUAGUUUUUUGAGGAAUCUCCACACUGAGUCUCUUGUGCUUGCACAGUGGUUACAUUAGAUUACAUUCCCACCACCAAUGUAGAGGAUUUCCUUUCUCCCCAUAUCCUCGCCAAGAUUUAUUGCGUUUGUGUUCUCGAUGAUAGGAUUUUGACCAGGGUAAGGAGGAAUCUCAGAAUUGUUUUGAUUUGUAUUUCCCUAAUGGAUAACGAUGAUGGACAUUUUUCCAUGUACCUGCUGGCCAUUUAUACUUCUUUUGAGACAUGUCUAUUCAGUGCAUUUGCCCAUUUUUUGAUUGGGUCAUUUGUUUUUCGGGGUUAAUUUUUUGAGUUAUUUAUAUUGUCUAGAUUUUACCAGAGGAGUAACUUGUAAUUUUUUCCCAUUCUGUAGGUUGUCUUUUCACUCUGUUGACUGUUUCCUUUGUUGUGCAGAAGCCUUUUAAUUUGAUGUAAUCUCAUUUGUUGACUCUUGAUAUUACUUCCUGUGCUAUUGGAGUUUUCUGUUAAGAAAGUCUUUGCCUGUGCCUAUGGCUUCAAUUUUUUUCCCCUUUAUCUUUCAGCAGUUUCAGAGUUUCUGUUUUUAUAUCUAGGUCUAUGAUCGAUUUUGAUUUUAUUUUAAUACAGGAUGAGAGACUGGGAUCUAGUUUCUUUUUUUUUUCUUUUGGGUAACGGGGAUUGAACUCAAGACCUUGCGCUUGCAAGGCAGGUGGCAGAACCACUAAGCUAAAUCCCCGGCCCCGGGAUCUAGUUUCUUGUCUUUCCUUUUUUUUGUGCUGGGGAUCGAACUCGGGACCUUGUGCUUGUGAGGCAGGCAGCGGAACCACUGAGCUAAAUCACUGGCCCCCAGGGAUCUAAUUUCAAUCUUCUGCAUGUAGGUAAGUUGUUUUCCCAGCACCAUUUAUUUUAUUUUAUUUUUUUGGUCCUGGGGAUCGAACUCACAACCUUGUGCUUGGGAGCCAGGUGUGGUGCCACUGAGCUACAUCCCUGGCCCUACCAUUGGUUUGUUUUGAGACAGUCUUGCUAUGUACUUUAGGCUGGUCUUGAACUCCCUAUGUAGCCCAGGCUGGCCUGGAAUUCAUGGUGAUCCUCCUGUCUCAGCCUCCCAAGUGCUGGGCAUGCUCCACCAUGCCUGGGUUCAGCACCAUUUGCUAAAGAGGAUGUCUUUUCUGCAGCAUAUGGUUUUGGCCCUUUGUCAAAAAUUGUUGGUGGUAGGUGUAUGAGGGUGUUUCUGUAUCUUUUUUUUUGGUACUAGGGAUUGAACUUUGGAUCUUGUGCUUGUGAGGCAGGCAUCGGCACCACUGAGCUAAAUCCCCAGUGUGUUUCUGUAUUUUCUGUUCUAUUCCACUGGUCUACAUGUCUACUUUUGGGCCAGGAGCAUGUUGUUUUUCUUACUAUAGCUUUGUAGUACAACUUUAAAUCUGGUAUUACGAUGUCUCCAACUUUUAUUUUUUUCUCAGGAUUGCUUUGGUUAUUCUCGGUCUCUUCUGGUUUCAUAUGAAUUUUAGAAUUGUUUUUGGUAGUUCUGUAAAGAAUGUUGUUUAUAUUUUAACAGGGAUUGUAUAAAUCUAUAGAGCACUUGGUAAUAUGGCCAUUUUAGCAAUGUUAAUUCUGGCUAUCCAACAACCCAUUUUCUUUCUUUCUUUUUUUUUUUUUGGUACCAGGGAUCGAACUCAGGUCCUUGUGCUUGCUCAGCAGGCGGCAAAACCACUGAGCUAAAUCCCCGGCCCGAUGUGUUCCCAUUUUCUACUGUCUUCAAUUUUUUUUUUUUUCUUCUGGCACGGGAAUCAAACUCAGGACCUUGUGCUUGCCAGGCCUUGGCAGCGCCACUGAGCUAUAUCCGGCCCAAUAUAUAUGUUUAUUUCACAUAUUGUUCUACCCCCACCCCUUCCGGGGGACGAACUCAGGACCUUGUGCUUGCCAGGCAGGCGCCACACCACUGAGCUACAUCCCUGGCACUUUCUUCAAAGAUCUGUAAUUUUCAUUACACACACCUUUUACCUCCUUGGUUAGGAUGAUUCCUUGGUAUUUUUAGUCUUUUUUAAACUAUUGUAGUCUAAUACAGGACAUAUAAUUUAUAGGAUUAUUUUAUAAUAUUCACCCAGAAAAUGAAAUGUGGAGGAGUACAAGAGAUCUGUACACACACUAGAAACCCAAAGAAUCCAGCCGAUGGCCUGGAUCCCACAGCAGUGGCCCAGCUAAAGGCCUAGAGCCCACGGCAGUGUCUCAUGCUUGUCCAUAUCAGAGAUCUGUACCGGCAAGCCACAAAGGCCACUGGAAGCUAGAAAGCCUGAACUGGUGAGGUGAAGGAUCAGUGCCACCAGGCUGAGGGAUCUGCACUGGAGCCAGGAAGUGAUUCUCCAGGUAAAGACCAGAGCUCUCCUGCUGAGAACAGUAGCCAUUCCCAGCGCCAGCGAGACCCCAAGCACCUCCUUCUAUGAGAGCAGCCAAGUUUGCAUCAGGAAAACCAGCCACGGUAAGCUCCCCACCCUGCCCCGUGCCCCAAAAAUCAACAGCACACGAUCUUCCCCUCCAGUUCUUUUUCUGCCAUUGGCAACAAUCCUCAGGUGGGUCUUGCACACCCAGAACCACCCUGAUUCAGUUCAGCUGAGCAUUCCAACUUGACCGUUAGUUAAUCCACCACAACUAUCAUGAACAGAAAUGAAUUCCUGAUUUCUUUCUUGAUGGAUUCAUUAUUGGUGUAUAGAAACACUAUUUGUAUGUUGAUUUUGUAUCCUGGCAUUUUGCUGAAUUUGUUUAUCAGGUCUAAAACUCCUCUACUAGAGUUUUUUUGGGGGGUCUUCUAUGUAAAUAAUUAUAUCAUCUGCAAAGAGGAAUUGUUUAACUUGCUUUCCUAUUCGUACCCCUUUUAUUGCUUUCUCUUAAACCUGCUUGCUCUCACUGAAGUUUCCAGUACACAAACACUGAGGAGGACUGUCGAGAGUGGACACUGUAGGAACCAGCCUAUGAGCUUGAACCUGACCAAGGGGUGACGAGGAUGAAAAAUAAGGAGACGCAGGGCUGGGGAUUUAGCUCAGUGGUUUCGCCGCCUGAUGUGCAAGCAAAAGGAUCUGGGUUCAAUCCCUGGCACCAAAAAAAAAAAGGAGACACAGAAACAGGUUAAAAUUUGGAGUGCCAGGAGGCUCAUGUCUCCCCUCCACAUAGAGCCCCAAGUGCCUGGUGCAUGUUGGCUUUAUUCGCUCAACUCAGUCAGAGCCAUUAGAGUUCCACAGGCCGCAUCUGUCUGUCUCCGCCCUCCACGGUGCUUCUCCGGGUGAACACCUCAACCUCAGGUGUUCUUACUUCCCCUGCAGCGUGUGAGCACGCUCACACGCCCUCUCUCUCCUCAGGGAUCUCCGAGCAGGCCAGUUAGGCCUCCUUCUUCCCAUCUGGUCUCCACAGGACACCCGCUCCUCUUUCAUUUAAGAAAAAGCUUUGUUUUCUCCACUUAAUAUGACAUUGGCUGUGGGUCUGUCAUAGUUUGUACAGAAGAAUCCUAUGCUUGAAAGAUUCUAAUAAAUUCAAACAAAAACAACCCUAGAUCCUCUCUGCCAAGGCUGCUGUGGCUUCAGAGUGCUAGGCAGGGGGCCUGGAGGGAACCAGGAAAGAGGAGCAGGACGCUGUCCUGUGGGCCCACACUGGGCUUUCCCAAGGCUGCAAACUCUGGCACCUGAAGAAAAGAAAGGACAGUAAAUGAUUAAACAGCGCUGGGGGAUGGCCUUUGAGGUGAGGAAGGCAACAUCUGCAGGGAGCUCCUCAGAGGAACCCCAGCCGGCUGCAGGCCGCAGGCAGACGGUGGCAGCACGGCCUCCAGCAGGGGCAUUGUCCACUCAGGCAUGUCCUUCUCACUCAGCCUGCUAAUGCUUCUAUGCUGGCAGAGGCCCCAGUGUUUUUUCCAUCUCUUCUCAAAACCUUAUAUAAACCAUUCACUCAUUUUCAUUGAUUCGGCUGGAUUAAUUUGAUACCUAUGUAGCAG
rnacentral:lncRNA from 1 species